ensembl:snoRNA
AUCCUUUUGUAGUUUGUGAGCAUGAUGAUUGGGUGUUCACACGCAUGCAUGAGAUGUGCCACCCUUAAACCUUGUUACAAUGUCAGCACAUUAACCGUCUGAUC